rnacentral:rRNA from 1 species
UACAGAGGUCUCAAGCGUUGUUCGGAUUCAUUGGGCGUAAAGGGUGCGUAGGUGGCGCGCUAAGUCAGGUGUGAAAUUUCGGAGCUUAACUCCGAAACUGCAUUUGAUACUGGCGUGCUUGAGGACUGGAGAGGAGACUGGAAUUCAUGGUGUAGCAGUGAAAUGCGUAGAGAUCAUGAGGAAGACCAGUGGCGAAGGCGGGUCUCUGGGCCGAUACUGACGCUGAGGAGCGAAAGCGUGGGGAGCAAACAGG